ACGGUGCUAUAUUUUCCCAAUUUUACCAUAUUUUUUCGAAAAAUUCUGGUAAAAUUGGGAAAAUAUAGCACCGUGG
rnacentral:miRNA from 1 species